CCCCUCCCCCUGCUCACCCCCUCCCCUUUUCACCCUCUCUCCUCCUCACCCCCACUCCGCACCCCUCCCCCACGUCCUCUGGAGCCCAAACCGCCCCACCUCACCCUCCCACCCACUCUCCUCUGUAGGAGGGAGCCUUCUGCAGGGGGGGGGGGCAUCCCCCGUGGGGUGCUCUGCCCACCCCAAGGGGCAGCAUGGCAGUGGGGUGUGCCUGUCCUAGGGAGGGUCCUCCGAGGUGGGUGACACGGGGCUGGGGGUGCCAUGUUUAUGUAUGGUGGGUGGGUUUCAGGGAGAGGUGUGUGUAUCACAUCCUGGUGAGAGGGGGACAGUGUGGGUUUCCUCUCGCCCCUCCACCCCCACCACGUUCCUGUUGGAGCCUCCAUCGCUGGCUCUCAGCCGACAGGGCAGGGGGUGAUCUGCCGCACGUGGCCAUGGCUCCCAGGCUUCCCAGAACGUGCUCACACACAGCCCACUCGCACCUGCACAGGUGAGCCCUCUCAAAGCCCCAGUGAGUUCGCAGCUGAAAGCCCUUGCAGCGGACAGCUCUGUCCAGGCCCCCCCCCUUUUGCACAGGACAGGACGUGGACUCUGGAGUCCUCACGCCACGCUGCCGGCUCUGAGCCCCAGUCUCCUCAUCUGUGAAAUGGGGGUGAUGAGCGAGUGCCAGGGCCACAUCUCCUGUCAGGUCAGUCACUUUAACGCUCACCCCCGGCCCCGGCACCUGAAGGUGGGACUCCAGCCUCCUCGGGAACCUUGCAGUCAGGAGCAGGCAGUGUGCGGUGCACAAGCUGGGGUGCUGGCAGCUGCCCCCUUUUCUGCCCCAGCCGCAGUGGCUCCAGACCUGUGUCCCCUGCCCCAACUUGGGGUUCAGCUCAAGAAAGGGGGAAUGUUUGAGAAUAUCUUUCCUGAGCUGCUGCUUCAGUUUGUCACAGCCCGGGUGCCUGACAAUGGAUGCCUGCCCUACUGCUUGGAGGGAGGGGCCCAGCUCCCGCUCUCCAAGGUGACGGUGAGACACAGUGGGAGACUGUUCUCAAAGCCUCAUCUGGUCUCUGUGAGUGUCAGAAGGUACUUUCCUAGGAAACAAUGGUAAAUGAAAAUGAAAUUUAAAAGAAGAGAAGCAUUUCUGAAAGUGGUACCAGUUUGUAAGGACACUUUCAAAACCGAGAGCAAGAAGGAAAAGCAAGCAGCAGGAAGGCAAGGCUGGAUGGGGAACAAGAGGCGACAGAAGGACAAACACAGGGACACACCUUCCAAGAUGAGCGGUGAGAAAGGUGCACAUAAUCGUAACAGAGGAAGUUUUAUUUCUUUAUCCCAUGAAAACAUGAUUAAAUUCAGUAAGUCCCUGAAUGAAGCAUCCACCUUAAAACACAGAUCAAAUGCGAGAGAUGACUUCGUUUUUAAAUCAGGCAAGAACUGAAAUCUCAUCUCUUACCACUCACGACCGCCCAUCUUCCAUACUGCUUGAUCAAGUCCGCUCUGCUCACCAGGCGCGGGAUGAAAUGCAGCCUGAUGAGGCUGUAGAAGUCACAGACGACGGUGAUGCUUUUUCUGGCCGUGUACCAGGCUCCAACCAAGGCGAGGGCUUCCAUGUAGCAGUUGCAGGACCUGGCGAUUUCCCUGUACAAGAGGUAGAAGCUGUCGACGGCAGCCAUGGCGGCCUGCAGGGGCAGAGAGCAAGAGAGGUUGUCUCUGCUUAGUAACUGAAAGGAACACACACAGUUUGGGUGAAGAAGGAUGUUUGAGACAUGAGGGCCUGACAAUUUUGCAUUCAAAUAACAGUAACUGUUCAAAUGCAUGUAGCCCGUGGAUCCAGCCAAUUUAUGAUAUCAUUACUUAACGUCUUGCAGCUUACAAAGUUCUUUCCAUCCAAGAAGAUUAGUCAACAUGAUUAUCAAGAGUUACCAAAUUCCUACUAAACUUCAGGCACUGAGCUAAAUGUUAUGGAUACGACAAUAAACACAAUAUGCUCUGAGCCCUAAGGAGUUCCCAGCCCAGCUUAGUGACAGGCACAGACUUUUUAAUCCACAUAACAGCUGAGAGUAACGUUUAUUUCUUUUAUUGAAUUUAUUUAUGCAAAACCGGCAAGCACAGAGGACCUACUAUCCCUGUAAAGACAAAGUAUGAAAAAUAGAGGCACUAUUAGGACAUAGCCUCGGCCUCAAAGGGGGCUUCCUGGUCACUCAGACAGUACAGAAACUGCCUGCAAUUCAGGAGACCAGGGUUCAAUCCUUGGAUCAGAAAGAUCCCCUGGACAAGAGAAUGGCUACCCACUCCAGUGUGCUUGGCUGGAAAAUCCCAGAUAAAGGAGCCUGGUGGGCUACAGUCCACAGGGUCUCAGAGAGUCAGACUGGACUGAGCGACUAACACUUCGGCCUCAAAGACCUUACAACUCACUUUGAGACAAAACUAUGCUCUAAUUCUCUUUAAUGUAAAUUGUAUUAUGUAUAAAUAAUGUUCAUAAAUGUACAUUUUAAAAAGAGAUACUCCCCAAACCUGAAGACAUGGUUUUCUGAAAUGACAGUGGCUAAGCACGCUUCAUCUGGCUGGCAUCACUGGCACACCGUCAUCCUUGCCUGGCCCCUUGUGUUCGGGGAGAGAAAAUCCCAAUGUGACUCUUGUAGUAUCCACACAGCAAGCAUCUUUACCUGCCAUGUACUGGGAUGGACGCUAAGGUUUCAAAGAUGAAGCAAACAACUGCUUAGGAGGAGAGACUGACACCUAACAAAACAACUUAAAACGCCAUAUGAACUGGUGUGUAUGUGUGUGCACCUGCAAUCAGAGAGGCAGAGGAAGGCCGGGCACGACCAAGGCUGAUAAACUUCCUUCUAGACCAGACCAGGGGAGUCACCAAGGCCUGAGCCAACCACGUGCUCUCAGUGAGGGUCAGUUCAGUUCAGUUGCUCAGUCGUGUCCGACUCUUUGCGACCCCAUGAAUCGCAGCAGGCCAGACCUCCCUGUCCAUCACCAACUCCCGGAGUUCACUCAGACUCACGUCCAUUGAGUCAGUGAUGCCAUCCAGCCAUCUCAUCCUCUGUUGUCCCCUUCUCCUCCUGCCCCCAAUCCCUCCCAGCAUCAAAGUCUUUUCCAAUGAGUCAACUCUUCACAUGAGGUGGCCAAAGUACUGGAGUUUCAGCUUUACCAUCAUUCCUUCCAAAGAAAUCCCAGGGCCAAUCUCCUUCAGAAUGGACUGCUUGGAUCUCCUUGCAGUCCAAGGGACUCUCAAGAGUCUUCUCUAACACCACAGUUCAAAAGCAUCAAUUCUUCGGCGCUCAGUCUUCUUCACAGCCCAACUCUCACAUCCAUAUAUGACCACUGGGAAACCAUAGCCUUGACUAGGUGGACCUUAGUUGGCAAAGUAACGUCUCUGCUUUUAAAUAUACUAUCUAGGUUGCUCAUAACUUUUCUUCCAAGGAGUAAGCAUCUUUUAAUUUCAUGGCUGCAGUCACCAUCUGCAGUGAUUUUGGAGCCCAAAAAGAUAAAGUCUGACACUGUUUCCACUGUUUCCCCAUCUAUUUCCCAUGAAGUGAUGGGACCGGAUGCCAUGAUCUUCUUUUUCUGAAUGUUGAGCUUUAAGCCAACUUUUUCACUCUCCUCUUUCACUUUCAUCAAGAGGCUUUUUAGUUCCUCUUC
rnacentral:lncRNA from 1 species